CGAAGCCCGCCAACGGACGAGCGAGCAGCCACGGAACGGGACCGCGAUCGAAAGAACCCCACACGAUCUUCACGAAAAUAAGAGUAAAGGCGCCACGCUUUAUCUCUGAGAUCAAAGCCGACGAAGGGUCGCGUGCCCUCGUGACAGAGCAACGCUCCGGAAACAGUAAUCAUCGACUGUUUCGCAAUUGCAAAUCAAUCUUCGACAUAACACUCGUUCUCUCGUUCAGUUCACUUGAACGAAGCGCUCGUCUCGCGUUCGGUUUACUUCGGUCACGAUCGUGUCGACCGCAGUGCUUACCGGUGUCCGUCUCGCAUGUUUUCAUUUCGAAUCGGAGUGGAAGUGUGACAGCAGAAAACAGUGGUUUAAAAGGCACAGAAUCGUUGACAGUGAUCGACGUGACUCGCGCAGAUCGCUUCUGAAGGAUAUUCGUGAUCUAUAUCGCAUUUCUUUCGUUUGCAUGCGAGCGGUUAAACAGACGAGGUCCAGAGAACCAGUGUAAUUACACAUACGAGAGUAACGUAUCGUGAAAGUCGAAACAUUACGCGAAAUUCGCCGGCAAUCGAGUUUGUGCUUCGAUACAGUGCUCGUUCGAGAAAUUCGUCGCGACUUCUUUUACCCGUGUCCGUUGUGUAUUACAGUGUCGUUUUUGUCGUUUAACACGAUUACAUACUCUCUGAGAAUCGACUGUCAGUCGAACAUCGUUGGAUCUACGAGCUCGUGUCCGAAAAGUGUUUAAAAGGAACAAUCGAACAAAUUAAAAGAGAAUCAAACGAAUAGUAAUAAAAUUGAUAAACACCGACGAAAGACCAUUCGGACGAAGGAAGGCACUGUUAAUCGACAGGACAGUGACCGUUGCAACCUCGUGACGCUCGGUGCAUGAUCGAAAAAUCGAGAUCUCGUUUCGCGCGCAAACGGUGCAUCGUAGCAGUGGUAACAUUGGAGAACGGCUGGAUUCUUACGAGUUCCUCUCGACUCAGUUCAAGGAAGACAUCAAGAUCCGCGCAAUUGGUCCAAUAUCCAGAGGAAUAACAGAAUUCACUUCACUUCGAAUUUCUUUCGAAGUAUCUUCGAUCGAGAAUAUCGACCACCACCAGUACGUGAUUCCUGUGGAAGACGAUCGGAGGAGACAACUAACGACUGGUUUGUCAUUGGACUAACCUUCCCGUCGUCGUUUUUACGAAGGAUAUACAGGGAAGACUCGAAGGUAUUCCAAGAAUCGUUGGUGUCGCGAUCUCAACAUUCGAUUAAACGGUGACGGCAGUGUCGCGAAACGGUACCACCUGUGUUUGGUGACUAAAAUUCGACUCCCGUGAUUUAUCUGUUUUCGGCCAGUAAUUCGACUCCGCGUUUCCUGACAUUUUUGGUAACUCGUGUGUUUGUGCUCCACAGUGGUGGAUGGAUGAUCCAUCGUACAGCAUCGCUUGAAAAAGUAUAUCCGUGUGUGCGAAAGGCUCUUCCAGUUGGAUUACAUCGAAGCGUCGACAUCGUGUUUACUUCGUGGGAGUGGAAGGGUUGCAGCGACCUUGUGAAUUCCGAAUCCGACGUGUCGAUCGAGACAACAGAGAGCGCGUGGCCAAUUACUCGUGCGCCGUUACUCGAGCACCGAUUAAUCGAUUAAUUAACAUCCGAAUUAAUUCGUCGAGUCCCUUGAAUCGUCGAUACUUACGCCGGGCUUGUGUUUCUGAAUAUUUCCGAGUCGAUAUUCGAUCCGACAAUUCGUAGUUUUAUCGCUGCACGCCGGCAGUUUGAUUUUACCGCGCGAUUAAUUACAUUCAUUUGGUCGCGGACCGAAGAAUAUCGCGGCGCGUUGAGAUCGGUUUCCAUUAUCGGUGCGAACAACACCGGUUUCUCGAGCUCGAUUCUCGGCGUGCACGCACCAGCCUCCUCGUAGAUCCUUUGUCCGAUUUAGCCAGGAUUACGCGCUAGUUCGCGGAAGCAGUAGCUCUGUAAUUGCGCCACGCGCACGCUGAACGAUUGUCUGCGCGACGAAACAACAAACGGUCGUGUUUACGUGACGAAAGUGCAGACGCAGCCCUACUCGGUCAUUUGCAAAAAGUGACCGAAACGACCCAGUUUUUCCGUUGGAAGUGGUACACAUACGGCUUCAAGAUUCAGCUGGACAUCAUGCCCUGGUUCAUCCUAUUUCUUCUUCUGUUAGCCGUGAUGGAGGCUUUCCCUCGGGAGGCCACCUGUUCCCGCCUGCCGGACAUCUAUUGGAAUUCCACCAAUCCAAUGUGAGUACCAACUCAUUCAUAUCGAAUCGUUAUUCCAGGACAAGGUAUGUUCUUCGUGUCCUGAUCAAGAAAGGCGAGAAAACUAACUUAUUAUAAAGAUGAUGAAACAUCAGCCCCAGGGUAAGAUAAAUCU